CCUCUCUCUUCCAGGACUUUAUGCUAUUACCUCCUGUUUGAACAUCAGGUAAUCUACCGCCCUCUCUUCCAGGACCUUAGGCUAUUAACUCCUAUUUGGACCUCAGGUAAUCUACAACACCUUUGUCUUCCAGGAACUUAUGCUAUUACCUCCUAUUUGGACAUCAGGUAAUCUAGUGCCCUCUCUCUUUCAUGCCCUUAGGCCAUUUCCUCCUAUUUGGACAUCAGGUAAUCUACAACACCUUUGUCUCCCAGGACCUUAUGCUAUUACCUCCUAUUUGGACAUCACAUAAGCUACAACACCUUUGUCUUCGAGGACCUUAUGCUAUUACCUCCUAUUUGGACAUCAGGUAAUCUAACAACACCUUUUUCUUCCAGGACCUUAUGCUAUUACCUCCUAUUUGGACAUCAGGUAAUCUACAACACCUUUGUCUUUGAGGACCUUAUGCUAUUACCUCCUAUUUGGACAUCAGGUAAUCUACAACACCUUUGUCUUCCAGGACCUUAUGCUAUUACCUCCCAUUUGCACAUCAGGUCAUCUACAACACGUCUAUCUUCCAGGACCUUAUGGGAUUACCUCCUACUUGGACAUCAGAUAAUCUACAACCCUCUCUCUUGCAGGACCUUACGCUAUUACCUCCUAUUGGAGAUCGGGUUAUCUAUAACCCUCUCUCUUCCAGGACCAUAGGCUAUUACUUCCUAUUUGGACAUCAGGUAAUCUACAGCCUUCUCUCUACCAGCACCUUAUGCUAUUACCUCCUAUUUGGACAUCACAUAAUCUAUAACCCUCUCUUCCAGGAUCUUAUGCUAUUACCUCCUAUUUGGACAUCAGGUAAUAUAACAACACCUUUGUCUUCCAGGACUUUAUGCUAUUCCCUCCUCUUUGGACAUCAGGCAAUCUACAACACCUUUGUCUUCCAAGACCUUAUACUAUUACCUCCUAUUUGGACAUCGGGUAAUUUACAACACCUUUGUCUUCCAGGACCUUAUGCUAUUACCUCCUAUUUGGACAUCAGGUAAUCUACAACACCUUUGUCUUC
rnacentral:lncRNA from 1 species